rnacentral:misc_RNA from 1 species
CUUUAACACUGCCAUGCUAACAAGGUUGUCGAAAGAUACUUUGUUGUAGCAAUUUUCUGUUUUUAAGAUACACACAAGUGAAGCUCACAAGAAAUGCAGUCUUGGGCUGAAGCUGCUCAAUGCGCUGUUGCUGUUGCUGGUGUAGUGAUGCAGGCCCUUGUGUGUAGGAAUGAUGGUGUCUGGAGCAAGGAUCACGUGAGUGCAUUACGCAAAAUAUGCCCCAUGGUCAGCAGUGACAUCACUUCUGAGGCUUCAGCAGCUGAGGUGGAGGGAUAUGGUGCUUCAAAACUCACAGUUGACUCGGCUGUGAAGUAUUUACAGCUUGCAAAUAAGCUUUUCCAUCAGGCUGAGUUGUUCCAUUUCUGUGCAAGCAUUCUAGAACUUGUAAUCCCAGUAAAUAAAAGCAGGAAGGCAUAUGGACAGCUUGCAAAAUGCCACACAACACUUACUAAUAUCUACGAGUCUAUCCUUGAGCAGGAGUCUAGCCCUAUUCCUUUCACGGACGCCACAUAUUAUAGAGUUGGAUUUUAUGGUGAGAAGUUUGGGAAGCUGGACAGGAAAGAAUAUGUUUAUAGAGAGCCUCGGGAUGUGCGAUUAGGCGACAUUAUGGAGAAAUUGAGCCGUAUCUACGAGUCGAUAAUGGAUGGAACUACAUUACACGUAAUUCCUGAUUCAAGGCAAGUCAAAGCAGAUGAGUUGCAGCCUGGAGUCUGCUACCUGCAAAUAACUGCAGUUGAUCCUGUAAUGGAGGAUGAAGAUUUAGGAAGUAGAAGGGAAAGGAUAUUCUCUCUCUCUACAGGAAGUGUCCGUGCUCGAGUCUUUGACCGGUUUUUGUUUGAUACCCCUUUCACUAAAAAUGGAAAGACACAAGGAGGCUUGGAAGACCAAUGGAAACGGCGAACAGUUCUGCAAACUGAGGGAUCUUUUCCUGCGCUAGUGAAUAGACUCUUGGUUAUCAAAUGUGAAUCCCUUGAGUUCUCCCCAGUCGAGAACGCAAUUGGAAUGAUUGAAACUAGGACAGCUGCAUUAAGGAAUGAACUUGAAGAGCCUAGAAGCUCAGAAGGCGAUCAACUUCCCCGUUUGCAGAGCUUACAGAGGAUUCUUCAAGGUUCAGUAGCAGUUCAAGUUAACAGUGGAGUCCUCAGCGUCUGUACAGCUUUCCUUUCUGGUGAGCCUGCAACUAGGUUGCGUUCGCAAGAGCUACAACAACUCAUUGCUGCCCUUCUUGAAUUUAUGGCUGUGUGCAAACGUGCUAUUCGAGUACACUUUAGGUUGAUCGGGGAAGAAGAUCAGGAUUUUCAUACUCAGCUUGUAAACGGGUUCCAGUCUCUCACUGCAGAACUAUCACAUUAUAUUCCUGCAAUUCUUUCGGAGCUUUAGGAGUAUUUCUUAGUUGUUUUUUUUCUGUAUGUAGUUUGUCUUCCUCCUACAAUAUGUUUAUAUUGUUUGUAAUGACUUCAUUUUGUAUUCAGGCUGAGUCUUUGU